rfam:Ovis aries breed Texel chromosome 12, whole genome shotgun sequence.
UCCCUCAUAGCUCAGUUGGUAAAGAAUCUGCCUGCAAUGCAGGAGACCUGGGUUUGAUUCCUGGGUUGGGAA